CUCUCAUUCAAAAAAUCAGAUCGCUCAUCUCUGCUUCUCCAAACCUAUGCUUUGACUACAACUUCUAGAUUUUUCCUUUUGUGUUCACUUCUCUCACUCAAAUCUCUGCUUCCGUCGCACUCUAUUUUCUUCUUUUUCUUCUCCUGUGAAAAUCUCAGCAUUAAAUUAGUUUUCAUGUGUCCUUAAAACGUUAAUCUUUCGCCUCUCUCUCUAAAAAUCCAUCUGAAAAAAUGUAUAUUGGGUAUUGUUUCUCUCUGCAGGUUACUUGGAGAAGUCUGUGAAGGGUCAAUAGGUCAAGGUGGAUUGCGUUUCAAAGUACAAAAAAUACAGGGCCUGCCUCUCUAUGCGUUUCCAGUCUUCCAAAAAUCGUGUUCGUGGAGGCGAUUUGAGACGGAUUUGAAGCUCGGCUUCAGAGAUUUGAUUCAAAUUGGUGGAUUUGGUUUGCAGGUGCUUCCAAGGGACCUGCUCUAUGCUCUCGCUUCGUGGUUGCCUCUGUUGGGUUUGGAAAAGCUACAGACAGCAUUGAAUUGGAAGAAUGAUGAAAGUGCUUACAUAUUGUUGCAUGAGUUGGAAUUUCAAU